AUAAUAAUAAUAAUAAUAAUAAUAAUAAUAAUAAUAAUAAUAAUAAUAAUAAUUGCGGGAGGCUUGCGAGGAUAUUACAGCCGGGAGAGGCUGACCUUUUGGGGAUUUAAUGUUGUUGGUUUUGUUUUUUUUAAGUGAGACUUGGAAAUAAAACAUGAGAAGAUGAAGGGGUUGGACAAAUUCAGCUGGAGGAGAGAGACUGAGCUGCUGUCUAAAAAGCAGCCAGCGGAGGCUAAUGAGACCUUUGGGGCGUCUUGCAAGGAUCGCCUCCGCGUUACCUUCCCACCACCCGAGUCACUCUAAGGGCAGCAUCGCCCGGAUAACACAUGUAGCUCGGAGCUUCUCCUCCUCUAACACCCCGUGGGUCGCCUUUCACCGGGGACAGGGACACACACACACACAGACACAUCCUCACAGGCACAGAGUUGAUCCCUGCACCUCCAGGAAAAUAAAUAAAUAAAUAGCCACCACGCGAAACCUUCCCUCCACCUCUGCCCUUUUGCGAGAGCACUCCUUCUAUCUAAAAGUUUCCGAAAGAAAAUAAAUACAAGUGACACAGUGGUGGGGGAAAGCUCAUUAGUUCGUUGUCCAAGUCUAAUAAAAGAACAGAAGUGCAAAUUAUAGAGUUCAGCUUCAACACACGCUCUGUCAACUAAAAUCAACCGAGUGCAGCCUUGAUUCAAAUAGCUGCGAAGUUGGUCCGCAAUUCAAAACCACCUUCCCCCUCCUCCCUUCCCCUUCCCACCUCCACCCUCCGCCCUGCCGCAGGGACAUUUGGUUGGAAAAAUAUUGUUCCAAGGAAGGUAAUGAUAAAGCUUAACAUUAGGAAGAGGAGUGCGCAAACUCAUUUCCCCAUCGGUAAUCCCAAUAAAAGGAGCGUGGUGCUUCGCAGGGAAGGGCUGGGACGGGGGCUGCCUGUGUGUGUGGAUGAGGGGGGGGAAGGAGGGACAGGACUCCUGAAAUAACAUCUUCUUUCCAGCAAGGUAGAAGAAGAAACGGCCCCUUUGUUUUGAUAAUUAGCUAAGCCCAAACUAGGAAAGCAGAUGUGUUUGCUUAGCUAAUCAUAAGACAAGUUUCUUUCAAAGAACUUCAUUGAGCGAUGGUUAUUCUGAAGGAAGGAGAAGGAUUUCAUUUUUCUCUCUUCCUUGCCUCCCACCUCCCUCUAUUUUUAUUAUUAUUUUUUUCCCCCUAUACUCCUAACAUGAUAGAAACGCUUCCGAUUACCUAGAUGGGAAGAAAGCAAGCCCUCUUCAUCAUAACACCGGGCUCGCCCCCGGAGCAGCGCAGCCACCUCGGGCUCUCCCUGCUGCACGUUACCAGACAGAUCUGUUGACAUUUUACUUGGGGGGGGAUGGGUAGAGAGAGGGGGGGGGGAAAAGAGAAGUGGGAAAAAUAAAGUUUUAAUGACAUGUAUGACAUAUUAAAUUAGGCAGUUUUACAAUUGGGUUUGAAUGCGAUGCUAACUGAUUACAACUGUGUUAUCAAAAGGGUGAUAAGAUUUAUAACUUCGCGAGCACAAGCCUCUCCUCUUAAUGACAAUAGAUGUUCAAUAGCAGAAAUCUGGUUUCUAUUUCCCAAGAAGAGACGCUGUGUGUCUCCGUUGCCCCUUUAUUACCGCAGGAUUCAAGAUCCUCUCUAAAACAGCUCGGCACUUGGAAAUCCACAGGCCAGGAAUACCUUUAUGGUCCCUAUUAAGUACUGUGUUAUUUACACUUUCGCUGGUGCUUCUCACUCAAUACCCGUAUCACAUACGAGGGGAUAACACAGCCUCUCUCCUUGCCUUUCGCUGGCUGUUUUGGGUUUAUAUUUUGCAUUUCUUUGCUUUACAAAAGGGGGGCGGGGGGCCCCCCCCCCCCCCCCCCCCCCCCCCCCCCCCCCCCCCCCCCCCCCCC
rnacentral:lncRNA from 12 species